GAUGAACGCUAGCGGGAGGCCCAACACAUGCAAGCCGAGCGGUAUUUGUCUUUCGGGACAGAGAGAGCGGCGUACGGGUGCGGAACGCGUGUGCAACCUGCCUUUAUCAAGAGGAUAGCCUUUCGAAAGGAAGAUUAAUACUCUAUAAUAUAUUGAUUGGAAUCAGUUAAUAUUGAAAGUUACGGCGGAUAAAGAUGGGCACGCGCAAGAUUAGCUAGUUGGUGAGGUAACGGCUCACCAAGGCGAUGAUCUUUAGGGGGCCUGAGAGGGUGAUCCCCCACACUGGUACUGAGACACGGACCAGACUCCUACGGGAGGCAGCAGUGAGGAAUAUUGGUCAAUGGGUGCAAGCCUGAACCAGCCAUCCCGCGUGAAGGACGACUGCCCUAUGGGUUGUAAACUUCUUUUGUAUAGGGAUAAACCUCUCCUCGUGAGGAGAGCUGAAGGUACUAUACGAAUAAGCACCGGCUAACUCCGUGCCAGCCGCCGCGGUAA
rnacentral:rRNA from 1 species